CUUGAGUUUAACUCAGUAUACAGCAGGAUUCACUUCCAAACUGAAGCUCAGGAUGGAUCGGUAUGACUUAACUUCAAACUUGGAACCUGUAGUCUGAGUGACCUGAUGCUCAGUCCUGAAGCUGUUCCUGGUCUUUAAAGACGUUCCUUGCAGUAAGAAAAACCAUCAGAGGAGUAACA